rnacentral:rRNA from 1 species
AUCUGCCUGGUAGUGGGGGACAACGUUUCGAAAGGAACGCUAAUACCGCAUACGUCCUACGGGAGAAAGCAGGGGACCUUCGGGCCUUGCGCUAUCAGAUGAGCCUAGGUCGGAUUAGCUAGUUGGUGGGGUAAUGGCUCACCAAGGCGACGAUCCGUAACUGGUCUGAGAGGAUGAUCAGUCACACUGGAACUGAGACACGGUCCAGACUCCUACGGGAGGCAGCAGUGGGGAAUAUUGGACAAUGGGCGAAAGCCUGAUCCAGCCAUGCCGCGUGUGUGAAGAAGGUCUUCGGAUUGUAAAGCACUUUAAGUUGGGAGGAAGGGCAUUAACCUAAUACGUUAGUGUUUUGACGUUACCGACAGAAUAAGCACCGGCUAACUCUGUGCCAGCAGCCGCGGUAAUACAGAGGGUGCAAGCGUUAAUCGGAAUUACUGGGCGUAAAGCGCGCGUAGGUGGUUUGUUAAGUUGGAUGUGAAAGCCCCGGGCUCAACCUGGGAACUGCAUCCAAAACUGGCAAGCUAGAGUACGGUAGAGGGUGGUGGAAUUUCCUGUGUAGCGGUGAAAUGCGUAGAUAUAGGAAGGAACACCAGUGGCGAAGGCGACCACCUGGACUGAUACUGACACUGAGGUGCGAAAGCGUGGGGAGCAAACAGGAUUAGAUACCCUGGUAGUCCACGCCGUAAACGAUGUCAACUAGCCGUUGGAAUCCUUGAGAUUUUAGUGGCGCAGCUAACGCAUUAAGUUGACCGCCUGGGGAGUACGGCCGCAAGGUUAAAACUCAA